rnacentral:rRNA from 1 species
GACGAGGGGUCCAAGCGUUGUUCGGAAUCAUUGGGCGUAAAGCGGGUGUAGGUGGCUCUGUAAGUCAGGAGUGAAAAGCCCCGAGCUUAACUUGGGAAGUGCUUUUGAUACUGCAGAACUUGAGUGUGGGAGAGGAUCGUGGAAUUCCAGGUGUAGUGGUGAAAUACGUAGAUAUCUGGAGGAACACCGGUGGCGAAGGCGGCGAAUCUGGCCCAACACGUCGACACUGAGACCCAAAAAGCGUGGGGGACAUCAAACAGG